AUUGAACGCUGGCGGCGUGCCUUACACAUGCAAGUCGAACGGCAGCGGGGGAGAAGCUUGCUUUUCCUGCCGGCGAGUGGCGAACGGGUGAGUAAUACAUCGGAACGUGCCAUGUAGUGGGGGAUAACUAGUCGAAAGAUUAGCUAAUACCGCAUACGACCUGCGGGUGAAAGUGGGGGACCGCAAGGCCUCAUGCUAUAGGAGCGGCCGAUGUCUGAUUAGAUAGUUGGUGGGGUAAAGGCCUACCAAGGCGACGAUCAGUAGCUGGUCUGAGAGGACGAUCAGCCACACUGGGACUGAGACACGGCCCAGACUCCUACGGGAGGCAGCAGUGGGGAAUUUUGGACAAUGGGCGAAAGCCUGAUCCAGCAAUGCCGCGUGUGUGAAGAAGGCCUUCGGGUUGUAAAGCACUUUUGUCCGGAAAGAAAUGGCUCUGGUUAAUACCUGGGGUCGAUGACGGUACCGGAAGAAUAAGGACCGGCUAACUACGUGCCAGCCGCCGCAGUAA
rnacentral:rRNA from 1 species